rnacentral:tRNA from 1 species
GGAAUUGUGGCUCAGUGGUAGAGCACUCCCCUAGGAUGGGUGGGACCUGGGUUCGAUUCUCAGCACCA